AUUGAACGCUGGCGGCAUGCCUUACACAUGCAAGUCGAACGGUAACAGGUCUUCGGAUGCUGACGAGUGGCGAACGGGUGAGUAAAACAUCGGAACGUGCCCGAUCGUGGGGGAUAACGAAGCGAAAGCUUUGCUAAUACCGCAUACGAUCUACGGAUGAAAGCAGGGGACCGCAAGGCCUUGCGCGAACGGAGCGGCCGAUGGCAGAUUAGGUAGUUGGUGGGAUAAAAGCUUACCAAGCCGACGAUCUGUAGCUGGUCUGAGAGGACGACCAGCCACACUGGGACUGAGACACGGCCCAGACUCCUACGGGAGGCAGCAGUGGGGAAUUUUGGACAAUGGGCGAAAGCCUGAUCCAGCCAUGCCGCGUGCAGGAUGAAGGCCUUCGGGUUGUAAACUGCUUUUGUACGGAACGAAAAGACUCUGGUUAAUACCUGGGGUCCAUGACGGUACCGUAAGAAUAAGCACCGGCUAACUACGUG
rnacentral:rRNA from 1 species